AAGAUAGGGGAGCUCAAAAGACUUCAGAAUGUGGAGUCCCAAUGGACGAAGCUGUGUACAGAGUUCAAGCAAAUGGAGGAAUAUGUCAAGACCCUGCGUAACACUACUGACUCUUUAGCAAAUGACAAUGAAUUGCUGAAGUUCAGGGUGCCACUUCUGGAAAAUGAAAUAGAGGAACUCACGAGUAACUUGCAUCAAAAGACGGACGAGCUCAAGAGGCUUCAGAAUGCGGAGUCCCAGAGGAUGCAGCCGAGCACACAAUUCUGGAAAUUGCAGGAAGAUUUCACGAUGCUGAGAAACUCCAAUGACUCUUUAGUAAAAGAGAAUGAAUUCCUGAACUCCCGGAUGCCACUUCUGGAGAAUGAAAUAGAGCAACUCAAAAGUAGCUUACGUCAAAAGGUGCCCUCUCGCUCUUUCUCCCUUCUGUCUACUCUUCCCUUUUUUCUUCUCUUGUUUUUUUUCUUUUUUCUUUAUUUUUUUUCUAUUAAUUGGCAUGAGGGAAAAAGGCAAAGACGAGCAGCCCCCACCCUAAAGCUGUGGAGCACGUCAUGGUACUUUAAAUGGGGAGAGUCACUUUAUGUGUACGAGUAUCGAAGAGCUUGAGUAAUUUCUUUUAGCAUCUCCAACUCAUAGCGAAGAAGAUGCAGCAAAUAAUGUGCAUAUUACUCAAGGUCCAAGGAGUUCUCAGGGUGGUAGAAUGUACACCGAUGAGCUUGUGCACGAUCUUACUAGGAAACUUGAUGCCAAAGACAAGAGCCAAGUGGAUUUUUCAGACUUCAGUGGCUUGAUGGAGGAAGUGGAAAAGAGUGGGGCGGUGACUUUACCCCCUUCUCUGGCUCUUAUUGAUAAGAAGAUCGAGAAGAAGUAUGGUGAGAUUGCUGCAGAGAGCAAACAAAGCAGUUGCACAGCUAUGCCUAGCCGUAUUCUGUUGUGUGCGGCAAUCAAAGAGAUGAAUGAGCUGCAACUUGAGAGUAUCGACGAGAAAAAGAUGUUGUUAUGGAGGGAUGCAAUCAAUAGUGCUUUCAAAAUCAAUUUCAAAGUGGACUUUGCCAUAGAGCACUUGAAGAAAAUUGGCCGUGCAUAUUUUGGUUUAAAAGCAAGGAAUGAUCAAGAGCUCAGAAGCAUCGAGGAGAAGAUAUCAACAUUACAGAUUGAACUAUCCAACUGGGAGGAGAAGCACGCUAAGAAAGUAGAUGAGCAGAAUUCUGAGGUGAGGAAGGAGUGUCUGCGUGAUGCAGAGUAUUUUCAGGGCAAGUCUCUUAGCGUAGGCCUAUUGCAUUAGUAUCCUCUCAACCAGGAUUCAAAAGAAUAAAGCUUAAUUUUGAAAAGAAAGGUGUUUGAAGGAUUCAAAAUCUUGCUCGUACUCCAGAUGUCUAAAUGGUGUGAUUCUUGAAAAAAAAAUUGCGUUGGAAGAUGAUUGAGUGUAAUGCUACAGAAGAGGCAAUUGAUUUGUAUAUAAGAUAUGGAUAUAUUUAUUUGUCAUGUGUAGCCAGAAUUAGAGUCAAAACUUAAUAAGUUUGUUUUAAUUUUAAUUCAUAUAGAGAUAUAGUGUUUUUAUUAAAAUAGAUAUUUUUAUAAGACGAGUCAAGAGAUCUUUAUAAAUAAUUGAGAGCUCUUGUUUAGUAAUUUAAGUCAUUAAAAUAAGUUCAGGAAGAGAGGUAAAAUUUAGAUAAAAUGUGACAGAUAUUGUAAUCCUAAACUUAUUUCUAUUGAUUCCUAUGAAGAUUUUAUUUAUGCUUUGA